GGCGAUAUAUUUUAAUAUAAAAUAUUACCUUGCAAGGGUGAAGAUGUAUCUUACUAUCGCUU
rnacentral:tRNA from 1 species